rnacentral:rRNA from 1 species
CUCAGAUCACGUAAAAUUUUAAUAGUCGAACAGACUCUCCACUCCAAGCUCCUACACCUGAAAUUCAUUUUAAUUCAACAUCGAGGUCGCAACCUUAAUUAUUAAUAAGAACUUGCUAAUUAAAUAACGCUGUUAUCCCUAGAGUAACUUAUAACUCAACUUCUCCAAACUAAAAAUUAAACUCUUCAGCGAUUGCCCCAAUCAAAAAUAUGUAUAUAUCUAAAGCUUCUAGGGUCUUCUCGUCCCAGAAAUUCACAAGAGCAUUUUUACUCUUAAUUUAAAUUCAAAGUUAUUAAAUAAAACGCUCUUCUUAGUAUCUACCUUUCAUUCCAGUCUUCAAUUAAAAAA